AUGAUUUAGCUUUUAUAACAGCUAGGAAUUUUAUUGAAGUAUUUAUAUGACAAAUAUGUGUAGACAUUUAGCAAAUAUUUCAUAUACUCGAUUUUUACACCUCAAAUCGUAUAACAAUGUACAAGAUUACGAAUAAAACUUACAAACUAUAAGAAUGUUUGCAAAGAAAAUUCGGAAGCCUGUUAAUUUCGUUGGAUUUACGAAAAAGAGGAUCGAAGAAUAAAAACGACGUUUCAAAAAGAUAUAAAUAGAUCGCGGAAAAGGAGAUUAGUAAUCACUAUUGAUAAUGACGUAUUAAACUUCUACCGCAAUCAUCUUCCAAUCGCGUAGGUCACGGCGGGCCAGGGACAAGAGUUCCCGCCCAGUGAUGUCAUGUUUCGCGAAAGCUUCAGAGUAUUCGCUUAGCUCUAAGGUCUCUAGCCAGGCUUGGACUUCUUUG